AAAGCCUUAGGUUAAUUAAACUGGAAGCCUUCAAAGCUUUAGAUGGGAUUUUGUAUUCUCAGGCUUUG
rnacentral:tRNA from 1 species